UGAGUAGCAUAUUUCUAUGAAAUCUUUUGAUGGCUGUCUGCUGUCUGCUUAAGUGGGCAUUGAUGGCAUGUUAAUUUUUAAAAAGUUUGUACUUCAAAUAUAGGAACUAUCUUGCUUUCGGCGGAUUAUUCUCAGUUGGAACUUCGAAUAUUGGCGCAUUUGAGCGAAGACGCAGGUCUUUGUUCUGUUCUAGCCAACCCGAUGGCGAUGUUUUCCGCGGCAUUGUAUCGGUUUGGAAAAAGAAAAAGCAAGAAGAAGUCAGAGACGAUGAAAGGCAAAAAGCGAAACAAAUCUGCUACGGGAUUGUUUACGGCAUGGGAUGUAAAAGUUUAGCCGAACAGUUGGAAGUCGGGGAAGAAGAGGCUCAACUCUUUGUGAACACUUUCCACGCAAGGUAUCCUAGUAUACAAAGCUUUAUAACAAACACAGUUAACCAGUGCCGCACGAAUGGAUUUGAUGAUGUUGAUGCCUAAUUUUCUUGACAGGUCAACCGAUGUGGAAAAAAAUUCAGGAGGAAAAUGAAUUGAGCUGCUGACAUUGGCCUAUUCUGGAAUACAUCAGUUUGCAUCAUAAUCAGAAAGGGAAAGAAUGUGUUAGCAGCAAUUGCCUUUUCAGCUGCCUUAAACUUUAAGCAGAUGGAGUUGUAUCAUGCAAUACUUCUAUUUGCUGGCUUCUAUUUGCUGGCUUCCUGUCAACCUAAAGGUUCCUCACUUCCCUCCCAACUAAAGAAUUUGGUCCAGAUUGGCGCUGCCACAGUGGCGACCUUUGCAAUCAUUUGCGUGGAAUCUUUGAAGACUAUGUCGCCAAUUUUUGGUGCACGCUAAAUGUUGUGAUCAAAAUCAAACGACUAUUAAACCCAACCUCAAUCGCCUCGGGAACUAUCACCUAGGCCAUGCCCGUGCCUGAAAGAAAAAGUCAGGACGUUGAUUCGAACGGAUUCGAAUGCAACGAGCACUAAGUACGGUCACAUUAUUGGAGGAAUGACCGUGUGCUUGGUUCGUGAUUUGGAGUCACAAGUGAUAGCUGCAAGCUGAUAUCACUCGAACCACUGCACCAACCCCACUAAGCGUAUACUUACCUAUCAUACUUACCAUACGAAAUUUGCUUCAUCAAGUCUUUUAUACUGUCUCAUAGAUGAUCGAAAAAAGCUGCAGCUCAUUAUGGCGUCAGUUUAGCUUUAAUGCUAAAUUUCGCAAACACGGUGAACUAGAUUGACAAUAAUAAAAAAUGAACUUUAUUUGUCACUUGCUGUGUUACUUAUUAUUAAGAAUCUCAAUUAUGCUAAACAAAUUUUGACACGCAAAAAAUGCUACAAUAGAAACGGAAACGGUUGCACUCACGGAUCGUGACUGGAACAUGUAUACCAAUCCCGCCAUAAGACCUAGAAGUUACUCUUCGGUUGCCACCAGGUGGCAUAUGAGUAGCAUAUUUCUAUGAAUAUGAAAUCUUUUGAUGGCUGUCGUUCGGCCCGUUAAAUUGGCGAUUGUAUGGAAGUGAAAAUGACUAGCUGGUUGGUUACUACA